AAGGAAUAGAAGAGGUGAAGGUAAUUGAACAAAACAGUAGCUACAGCCGAUGCCGAAUUGCCGAUAGCUCCGAUCUCUUGCUUCUCAAGACGGAAACUACUGGACUGAGAGAGAGAGAAGAUUAGGAGAAGAUAAAGGGAAGAUGUUCAGGAGAAGAUUUUUGUCGUUUCCGCUGGUAAUUGGCGCAGUUAUAAUUGGCGUUGUAUCUGGGAAAGCUAUAUUUGCACAACCACUUGAUGAAUAUUGGAAGAAGAAACUUCAGGAGGAACCAGCUGCAAAAGAAAAUGAUUUAAGCACCUCAUAGAACGAUCAGACGCAUAUCUGAGCCUAAUAUAAUGCUAGUAUUUUUCUGUUGGUAGUUGCUCUUUAGAAAUGCUUUCUGCAGACACAUCCUCAUCCAAAUAGUUUACGCCAUGAUGAUUUGGAUAUUUCAUCCUUCAGUGGCUUGUAUGAGACUGUGCAUCAAAAUUAUUUCUGGUUUUUUUCUUGUUGUUGUUGAAAAUAGACACGCAAAAGCAACCACUGUGGCAUUAUGGUUCAGGAGAAAUAUUAUAUGUCAAUUAGAAUAAUAUUGUGCCUAUGUUACCUUA